GUUAGGAAUAUUGGACAAUGGGCGCAAGCCUGAUCCAGUCAUGCCGCGUGAGUGAUGAAGGCCUUCGGGUUGUAAAGCUCUUUAGUCCACGAAUAUAAUGACUGUAGUGGAAGAAUAAGCCCCGGCUAACUUCGUGCCAGCAGCCGCGGUAAUACGAAGGGGGCGAGCGUUAUUCGGAAUCACUGGGCGUAAAGCGUGCGUAGGCGGCUUUGCAAGUUGGGAGUGAAAGCCCAGGGCUCAACCCUGGAAUUGCUCUCAAAACUGCAAGGCUCGAAUUCGGGAGAGGAUAGCGGAAUUGUCAGUGUAGCAGUGAAAUGCGUAGAUAUUGACAGGAACACCAGUGGCGUAAGCGGCUAUCUGGACCGAUAUUGACGCUGAGGCACGAAAGCGUGGGGAUCAAACAGGAUUAGAUACCCGGGUAGUCC
rnacentral:rRNA from 1 species